GAACACAGUUAUUUUGUCUGCGAAUACAGUAAAUAGAACUGUGCACACAGUUAAACGUUAUUAGGAAAUUGUUGUAGAAGUGGUUGGGAUGAGGUUGUAAAAGGGAAUAAACACUCAAUCUAGAUUGGCACAUCCCAAAAUGAAGCAGUGAACUCCUAUUUUUGAUGAGUAGAAGGUUUAGUAAUAUUUGAACACCGUUAUUCUAUCCCGGAACAUAGUUAUUUCAACUAUGCACACAGUUUAUUUGUUGGAAAGCAUAAUUAAAUUAACUGCGAACACAGUUAAUAAAACUGCGCACACAGUUAAGUAUUAUUCUGAAAUUGUUGAAAGUGGUUUGAGAUGGGGUACUAAAACGGAGUAAACACUAAAUCUACAUUGCUACAUCUCUUAAUAAAAUAGUGAACACCUAAUUUUGAUGAAUAGAAGGUUUGGCAAAGUUUGAAGACUGUUAUUCUACCCCGAAAUACAGUUACUUCAAUUAUGCACACAAUAAGUUCUACUCUGCACACAGUUUCUUUGUUUCCGAACACAGAUAAAUUAACUGCGAACAUAGUUAAUUAAACUGUGCACCCAGUUAAGUGAUAUUCAGAAAAUGUUGCAUAAGAUAGCACGCCGAAUUUUAUGAAACUCCGAUACACUUUUAAGCAUAGGAAUAAUAGUAUCUGAAACUGUAAUACACGAUUUAAGCAUUUGUUAUUGCUUCCAUGGAAUAAUUUCCAAAAAUGGCACACAGAGGAUUUUGAAACUCCAAUACGCUUUUAAGGAAAAUGGCAUGCUGCAAUUUCUGAAAUUCUGGAACUAUAAUUAUUGAUAUCCAAAAUGAUAAUGGGACCUAACUGAAUUCCCAAAAUGGCACGCUCAUUUUUCUGAAACUCUGUUACGCUUUUAAGCACUUGAACUAUUUUGGCACAAGAUUUAAGC
rnacentral:lncRNA from 1 species